GACUUGUUUCACAUGAACCACAUUUUUGGAACCAAAACAAGCCUUCAAGAUAAAUGAAACGGUCAAGUCAUCAGGGGAGAGGAUUGCCAUUUUAAUCUGCGGAAGAGAAACAAAGCAUCAAGGAAAUGACCCUCGUGUGCAAAGACUCUGAUAGUGGAAUUAAACGGAAACAAAUUGGGUCUCUGCAGUUGAUAAAAAACACGAAGAGCAAGAUGAGAUGGGUAGUGACCAAUGAGACGAGUUGCUAUAAAGUUAUCUUGGAGGAGAUGGGGAUGUAGAAUGCGGCCUGCCGGCCUUGCAAGAAAGUAGAGAGACUA
rnacentral:misc_RNA from 1 species